AUAAGCCGUAACCGUUGUUAGCGUUUGUCCACUGUGUUGUCCAUGUUCUAAUAGACAAGUGAAUACACUCACACAUGUUCAUGUACGUAGGUGUGCAUACCUUUACGCGGCUUGUAAUUGCAGGGGCUAGGAAUGCGGAUGCACGCAUGAAGUAGCAGCCGGUAGAUAGUACAGGAUACGCUUUGCAAUGUACCGCGAGCAUUUAUGUAUGUCCCUAUUAUUGAAGAGCAUGCAUGGAGUAUGUGCUCACGUUAAUUAACGAUGGAGAAACAAAUGCUUGUCGCGAACUUAGUCUUAACUGUAAUUAUAUGCAGCUUUUCACUAAUACGCAAUAAAGUAUAUAAUCACAUGUGCCUACGAAAGGGCCGCCCAAUCUAUGACAAGUGGAUCUUCCUGUUUUGUAGACUGAUCUAUGCUCCAUCAUAUUGGACUGGAUUUUAUUCAAGCUAGAAAACAAUGUUUCUCAUCAAACUUUCGUAUUUUGUUUUCUACACUUUGAUUUUGAUAAGAAACUAUCGACACUUAAGCUGUCUUUUAAUAUCAUAUUGUCUCUUCACUUGUAAAAAAUUUAUAACUUAGACAUAUAUAUCUUAUAUGUCAGUAAUAUGAGACAUAUAACAGCUCGAUCAAUAUCAUAUUAAUAAGUCCAAAUAUCAAUUGUGUUUUAAUGGUCCGUCGAAUAAUAAAACACGUAUGCGUAUCGUAAGAUAUAUCGAUAUUAUACAAUUGUCAAACAGAACAUAACUUAAAAAUCAUAUGUAAUUAUUAGCUUGUGUAUACGCACGCGUAUGUUUUUGAAAGAACUAUGUGCAUCUUUGACAAAUAAACUGAUAAUCGCCUUUUAUGAUAGAAGCGUGCAAAAAUUGUUUUUGAGGAAAAUUAGCACAACUUUUAUUAAAAACUAAUCAAAAAUCUUCAAAAGUUUUGUAUUCAUGCAAUAUGAUUUAAAAAUAUAUUUAAAAUAUUUGCUAAAAAUAAGUGAAUUAUUUAUUAAUAUUGAUUCUACAAUCUUUUCGAUCAAUGGAAUUCUCUUUCCUAUUGUUAAAACAUUUUCUGAAUAUCGUUCUUGCAACAACUAAUAGAUAAAACGACUGUUAUAAUUACAUAAAAAAGAAAAACCACAAAACAUGUACAAAUCUGUAGAAAUUCGUGAGUAGUAACUAACUCGUUCAUUCAACACACAUUAUAAGAUUAAAAUAGUUUCACAUCGCCGAAUGAAACGAAUUCAAGGAAGAUAAGACACAUUCUCUCCAACAUAAAAAUUUCUGACCUAUUGAAAACAAAAAUAUCGGCAUAGAUGGAAAUAAGACAUAAAGAACAGAUAGAAUAACAAGUGUUAAAUAGUUGUGAGAGAGAGAGAGAGAGAGAGAGAGAAUAGAAUAAAGAAAUAUAUAUUCUACAGACGUCAUCAACGUUAUCAAUUUUAUUUUGAUUGAACAUUAAUCAAGCUAGAAACUAUGAUAUAGUAUAGAAACUAUGUAAUAAACUUUUUAUAUUCAUAUACCAUAUUUCCGAUGUAAUAAUAAUAUAAUAAUAUACAUCACACGCAUACGCGCAUGCAUGCACAUAUGACAUAUAUGAGAAACUCAUUUAUUCAAACAAAUUUCUCAUCUCUUAUCGUUAGUAGAUUUAUCUCCUUUUCCGAAGGCAUUAUCAUUUCUUCGCCACAUUAUUUAAAUAAUCUUAUACGCUUGAUUUUUUAAAAUAUUUUUUAUAGCUUAAAGUAAGUUAGAGAAUCGGAAAUUUGUCAAUUCGUCAAACACGCUAGCGAAUCAGAGACGUACAGCGAUCAAAAGCGGCGCAUCAAACCGAUUUACGAGUCGCUCGCAUAAUUAACGACAGUUACAUCAGUGGAAGUUAAAAUCCCAUGACGCGAUUCGGCGGCAUAUGUUAUGAGUAUAUCGUGCACGUAGCCUUCGUCAGUGCUCUCACAUCACAUGUACAUACGCGCAUGUAAAGCAGCGCGUAUAACAUAGAUACGAUAACAUAAUACGAUAGCUAUGUAGCGCAGAGUUACGCGAACCCAAUAGUACGUCUGACGGCCGUCUAGACGGGGCUACAUGAAUGCGGCACAUCGCCGCGUGUGUAAUCCCGCGUACGCACGAUCAUACGUACUAUACGUACUUACACGUGACUAACGCUCGUCGUCAUCGCCGAUGUAACGCCAUGCAUAUAGCGUUGCGAAAGCAAGUUACGUGGCAUGACUGCGUACUCUCGCUCUCGCGCUCGCUCUUGCAUUCGUUCUCAUGCUUGUGCUUACUCUCGUUCUCGUUCUCUUUCUCAAGCUCCUUCGCACUAACCGGAAGGAUAUUCUAUCUGAUGAGAUAUCCUCAACGUCCCAAAUUGCUCAGGAUUAGAUAGCUUCAUUCAAGAAUAUCCUAGAGUGCAUGUUCGUUAUGUCCUUUUUCCAAAGUUAAUUGAUUAAUGCUCAUUACUAUUCUUAUUUUAGAGACAUUUUCUUAUGUUCCUCUUAUUUCUUAAGUUAGAUGCAUAGUACACGAUAUCGUAUUUUUAUAUUUUGAUGCAUAAAAUAUUUUACAUAUAUUUUGGUACAUCUUAUAUAUGUUAUUAUAAAUAUCAUAUCUCAUCGAUUACAAUUGCGAUGCUUUUAUUAUAUCAAACGAUGUUUUAUAAACGAUGUAUUAUAUCAAACGUUUUAUAAUGUUUACAACACCUGUUUGAACAUAUGAAGUUGAAUGUAAAUGUGCGGUUAACUAAACAAACACA